UCGUGUCCCGCCUCCGUUGGUCCGAGGAGGCCAGGCAGGCAGGGGAUGGGAGAUUCGACCAAGGCCCGGCGUACCGUGAGCCCUUCACCGAGGUAUUAUGGAAACCAGGGAGCAGCUGCUUAAUUCCACAUUGUAGUGCUAGCUUCGUUGACAUUUCUGAAUUUUUCUCUCAGCGCGUUUUUUUCCUCUCUGGAUAAUUGCGACCCUGGGUUGGAGUUAGAUGGCUAGACUGCAAAGCGAGUCUGCAAAUAGUUACACAAUUUUUUCUCUCAGCGCGUGUUUUUCUGCAUCGAGCUUUAGGUUCCUUCACUGCAGAUUGCUGGACUGCAAAUAGUUACAGAUUUCAGUUUGCCAGACUGCAGAUUGCUUAUGUGCGCGUUGGCGAUUUUGCUCAUUAUAUGUCCUCUGGUCAACUAUCAAAAGAAACAUUCAUCACCCUAUGCAUAGGUAUCAAAGUAAAUACUGGCAAAUACUUUGGUCGAUGUUGGUUUUCAGUAAUGAAAAUCGGAAGGGGGAAGCCCUUCUUUGAUAAAAAAAAUCAAAGUAAAUACUGAACAAAUAGUUACAUGGAGUACAAUGAUGCUCACUGUUAACGUUGCUCACUUGCUAAUCAUGUUUCUGUUACAUGGAGUACAACAAUGAAACGUCACUAACUCAAGAUAGCAGGUUUACAAGGGAUGUUGUUCUUGCUAGGGCUGGAGCCACUGACAUGGUCUUGCUGAACUGGGAACUACUUGAGAUCACGUAACGGUUUGGGCAGUGAUAGCAGUUACAAGGUUUUAGCCAAAAUAUCUGGCUAAGACCAUCUGAUCAUAUAGGACUCCUACUGCAAAGAAAGCACCAAAGGCGAUUGCAAAGGUGACUUUACGGCCAAUCUCUUUGCCGGUGUUGAUGAACUCUGGACCCGCUUCUGCUGAAUCACAAUGGUUUGCAAUCAUAGGACCACACAAUUUUGGGUUCCCAUCAAAGCUAGAAUCUGGAAACGUGCUAAGCUGGCCCGCAGUUGGAAUAUGGCCUUCGAAGUCAUUAUUAGAAAUGUUGAAUUUGGAAAGAAAGUGCAGAUUGUUUAGUGCGGCCGGAAUUGUACCAGUAAGAUGAUUGCUGGACAAGUCGAGCAUCUGCAGAUUCGUGAGGGUGCAGAUUGGUUCUGGGAUCUCUCCUGAUAAUUUGUUGUAGCUCAAAUUAAGUGAAACGAGUGCUCUUAAUUGGCCCAUCUCCCCCGGGAUCACACCAGUGAAUUUAUUGACGGCUAGAUUAAGCACUUUCGGACAUGCACCAGCAUUGAUGUAUUGGAUAAAUGGACUGAAAACAUAAACAGGCAGCUCAAAGAAGGCCUUUGCUGCAAUCUUAUCUGAUUUUAGCAUUGGCAUCUCCGCUAAGGCAGUUGAAAUUUCCCCUGUAAAACUGUUGUUUGAUAUGUCUAGAUGGAAGAGAAAGUUUAGGGUGCUAAUCCAGUCAGGUAUUGGCCCAGUUAGUUGAUUGCCUUGCAAAAAUAACAUCCCCAAAUUUGUGAGAUUUGAUAACCAAUCAGGUAUUGUUCCAGACAUUGAACAAUAACUCAUAGAAAGAACUUGAAGAUUCUCAAAACCAUCAAUGAUGCCAUCCUCUGGCAUGGUCUCAUGCAGGAAGUUGAACCCAAUAAAAAGGGUGGUGAGGCUCCUGGAACUCUCAAGGAUCUUAAGUGUUCUCGUGAUAUUUGUAAGGGAGAGGUUAACAAGUGAUAGAAAGCGGAGAGACUUCAGAUUGCCUAUCUUUUCUGACAAUUGGCCAUGGAAAUGAUUGUAAGAUAGCCUUAGUGCAGUCAGCUUGCUGCAGGAGUAUAUGCUUUCUGGAAUUGUGCCAGUGAAGUUGUUGAAAACAAGAUCUAAUUUUCUUAGCUUGGACAGGCUUACAAAGUUGACUUUGGUAAGUUCUCCGCUGAAUUGGUUUGCCUUGAGGUCAACCGUUAUGAGAUUUGUGCAGUUGCUGUGAGCUGAUGGCAGCUCCCCUGACAUGUUGUUGUGGCCCAAAUGGAUCUCUUCCAAUCUCUUCAGCUCACCUAUGGAAUCUGGAAUAUUUCCACUGAGCUCAUUCUUCCCAAGAUCAAGGGUGACAAGAUUUGUGAGUUUGAUGAUGCCAUUUAGCGCUCCUUGUAACCGAUUGUUAGGUAACGAGAUGUACUGUAAUGACCUGACCUUAAAGAGUUCAUCUGGAAGUGUCCCAUUGAGGUUGUUGUAGCCAGCACAGAGGAAUUUCAACGCCAAGCAAUUACCAAGUCCUGGAGGGAUGUUUCCACUGAGUUGGUUGAAACUGAGUUCAAGCACAGCAAAAGAUGGCGCGCUAACACAGGGCGUAGUGGGUAUCUGCCCAGUGAAACUGUUGGUGCUAGCAUUAAGCACGACCAGGCUCUUCAUCACCUCCCAUGUUGUGGAUGGAAACCUACCUGUAAAAAAGUUACUUGAGAUGUUCAGUACCUGUAGAGGCCGUGUAGGGGUUGAAGAUGGCAACUCACUCAGGCCUCCUGUCAGGCAGUUGAAGCUGACAUCAAGAACAAGGAUGCUGCUGGAUGACACUAAUUCCAGUGGCAACCCAUCGGACAGCGAGUUCUGGGACAGGUUGAGGCGCAAAAGGCCAGUGAGGUUGCCAAGGAACGGCGAGAUGGACCCCUUAAGGCCUCGAGAUGCCAGCGAAACAUCAGUGACCCUCCUAUCUUGGUUGCAGGUGAUCCCUUCCCACGUGCAACAGUCAGUGUCGAUUUGCCAUGAUGCUGUGAGGCCGCCAUCGCUCGAGAGCCCAGUGAGGAGCUGGAGUAGGGAGCUCUUCUCCUGGUCUGUGCAGGAACUGGUGGGAGAAUCCAAGCAAACCAGUAGCACAAGAGCCAAACCGAAGAAAGGAACGGGAAAACCGUUCCUGUGUGAGUGACUGAGUGGAUGCAUGGUUUCCUCGAGAAUCUAGCUUGGAAACCACAGGCUUAAGCUUUUGUCUGUAAGGAUGAAGUGCCAAACUAUCUGAUGAAGAAAGAGCGAGACGGGAAAGGAACAACCUGCUCUGUUCUUUAGUUUGUUUGAUCCGGUCUGGUUGUAGUGAGCAGUGAUGAAAAUAAAAUUUGGGUCAACACCUCAACGGUUAGCUGAUGUUGCAUAUCUAAUGUGGUUUAUUUGUAAGUUUGACUUCCGAGGACGUUGAUGUGUUAAUACUUAAUCUGACCAUUUCUCCUACCAGUUUUGCUAUGCCUGAGGUACUGACAUUUGGUGGCAGAAGAGAAAAUUCACCUUGUGAUGAUCCCUAUUUUUUGUUGGCAGAUUCGCGAGAUGUGAUCUGUGAUGGACGCAUUCGCGUACAUGAUUUGGAGAAGAGCACAUGAGGUAGGUGAAGGGGUGUUUACUGAACAUUUUUUGCAUUUUCUUACAAUUUUGAUUUGCAUUAUUAGGUUGAUGGAAUAGGUGCAGUUAUAGUUAAAAUACCUAUCAGCAGUAAGUGGUCAGUACUCACUACAGUUGGUUGAUGAAAUAAUUUGUUGUAACUACGAUCAGUAAGUGGCCACUGGCCAGUGCAGUUGGUUGAUGGAAUAAUUUGUUAGCGAUCAUCAUAUGGCCUCGACUAGCUCUUCAAGUGUGCACGUUCUCAGCAUCCAGCAUCCCUUCACUUGCGUUGGCAGGGUGUAUGCCGUGCGAGCUAGCUUGGUCAAAUGAUUUCCCCAAAAGUCUUGUCCUAUCUUCCUAGUUUCAUUUAGUCGGUAUCAAUUCAUACAUAAAGAAAAGAUAAUGCAGAAGCUAUGCACACCUACCCACAACAGCAACAUCAUGUAUGUAGCAGGCCUACAGGGGUUAGAUUGGGUUUGACUUGAGCAGGUCAAAACUAUUUUCCUACUUAUUUGUCGAACAGCUACAUCCUUUUCCUUAAACCGGGUGCAACUGAAUCAGCAGGAGGUUGAAAUUCUGUGGCAUCUAAUCUUUACCAUGCACAGUAAACAAGUGGUGUAUGUUGUUCUCUUUUCCAAUUAUUGGAUGAGAAGCUGUGCCAUUUCAUCUAAUCUGUAAUAAAGGUUUUAUUCUUUUUCUAAGACUUAACAAGAAUCACUGUCACUUACUAGUUUAAUCAAUAAUUAAGGUAUCCACGUCAUGUGCACUAUGUCAUUUUCUUGAUAUUCUGAUCUUAUUAUUAUACAACAACCUAAAUUCUUUAAAGCAAAGCUUUGCUAUUUAGAGGUCUUGAGCACACACCCUUACGAGCCGUCCGAUCGGGAUCCCGAUCGCCAGGUGUUCCGUUGUCGGGUUUUACGGAGCGAAGGGAAACGCGAACGAACAACACACAGCGGAAGUGGGCCUCAAGCAUCUCGCCGCAGGCCACAUCAGGGAUGGCCUCGACCUCCUGCUGCUAGCUGCUGGUGCACCUCCUUCUCCCUACUGCUAUCUCCUGCUGCAUCCUACAGCUGCCCCAGCUCCGAUGUCUGAACUUUUACUUGUGACCGUGUACAGGUGCUGGCUGUAGCUUGAACUGGAGGUCUGGAGCAGAAAAAUUGCACCGAGGUAGCAGGUGGAUGAUGGUGUUGGUGCCUUUCUCUUGAAUUGUUGCUGGUGAUGGCUGCAAUUUAAAGGAGUAUUUUUUUCCUUUCUCUCCUUCCAUUUCUGUAAUUGUGCUUCCCCUAUGCGUGAUGAUGUUUCUUAGCACAAGGUGCAUUGGCUUGGGUUGAUCUGCUGUGAUAGUUCGGAGAGAUGAUAGUAGCAAGUAUAAACUCUCUACUAUGAUUAUAUUCAUAACACAUGGCAAAAAAGAGACUGCAUUAUUAAGUAAUCUGUUGUUUCGUUAUCAUUCUAAUUCUUUUUUAGCCACUAUACAUGUGUCAUGUAUGAGAACUUGAUAGAUAUUUGCUUAUCUGUGUCCAAGUGAUUACAGCAUAUAAUAAAGCGGGGAAAACAAG
rnacentral:lncRNA from 1 species